rnacentral:lncRNA from 1 species
AUGCUGCAGUGGGAGGCUAGGCGACCCCUCCCUGCCCCCCCAUCCCGGGUAUGCUGCAGUGGGAGGCCAGGCGACCCCUUCCUGCCCCCCGGCUCCGGGGACUACGCCGUCAACCUGGAGGGCCGCUGGCAGAAGCCACCCUGGGCCCCGCCGUCCAAUCGGUCUGCUGCACAGCCUCUGCGGCACUGGUCAUUGCGGGCCGCCCCCGGGGGCGCAGGAGGCCGGUGGGGACCUGGUGGGCUGCCCGGGCCAGACACCCGAACGGGCGGGCUGGCGGCCAGGGGCUCAGUGAGCACAGGGGGGCCGCGCACAGCAGCGCAUAUCCGGGCGCGAACCUGCGGAGGGGGUGGGGGGGUAGGGUCGUGCACCGCUGCAGAGGCCCCGGUACCUCCCCAAGGCACCGGGACCAGAGCCUCGGCCUGCCGGGCCACCAGGCUGCCCACCGGACGGGGGGCAAGCGCUCGGCCCUGGUCCCCACGGCGUCCGCGGAGCUGCGGGCGCGGGGACCCCAGGCCGUGGCUAGCGUGGACGUCCUCUCCCGCCUACAGCCGGGGCCGCGAGGCUUCCCCUCCGGGACCGCGCGGCGGUCCUUCUCCUUGGCUUGCCCUGUGUUGGGGCUGGCAACGCCCAGACCUCGCGCCCGCUGACGUCCCGCGUCCGGGAGGAAGCGCCGCAAGAAGUCCCGGCCGGGCUCCUCCCCAGGGCGGCUUGGGGGACCUGAGCACCCGCUGCGCCCCAGCAGCGCGUCGUCUUCGUCGUCUUCUGGGGAGCCUGGGGCCCCAGGCAGGCAGCCCGGUACAGCGCGGCUCCUCCCGCCCGGGCCUCCGGGGCGACUCUGGGGGUCACCCCUGCAGAGUGAUCCCAACCCUUGCGUCCUACAUGCGGGGCCUUCAGAGGCUGGGACGCUCAGCAUGCGGGGCCCUGUCACCUGCCGCGUCUGCGCUCCCCUCCGGGCCGUGUCACUGGCUGUGUCUGUGCGUGUCCCCGUCUUUCGCAGGGAUGCUCUGGGGGUCACCUCCGCCUGGCGAUCCUGGUCCUUGCGUCCUGCACGCGGGGCCUCGAGAGGCUGGGAUGCUCAGCGCGCGCCGGGCCGUAUCACCUGCUGCGUCUGCGCGUCUGUCCCCGUCUGCGCUCUGCACUGGGCUGCCCGCCGUCUCCCGUGAGGCCUCUAGGGGGUCCCCCCCGCACAAAGAUCCGGGCCCUUGCGUCCUGCACGCGGAGCCUCGAGGCUGGGAUGCUCAGCGCGUGGGGCCGUGUCACCUGCUGUAUCUGUCCGUGUCCCCGUCUCCCUUGGGGCCUCCAGGGGUCACCCCCGUACGGCGAUCCGGGCCCUUGGGUCCUGCAUGCGGGACCUCCAGAGGCUGGGAUGCUCAGUGCGCGCGGGGCCGUGUCACCUGCUGUGUCUGUCCGUGUCCCCGUCUCCCGCAGGGCCCCCGGGGGUCACCUCCGCCCGGCGAUCCGUGCCCUUGGGUCCUGCACGCGGGGCCUCGAGAGGCUGGGAUGCUCAGCGCGCACGGGGCCGUGUCACCUGCCGCGUCUGUCCGCGUCCCCCGGGGGCCCCCUCCCCGCCCGGCGAUGUGGGCCCUUGCGUCCCGCCCGCGGGGCCGUGUCGGCUGCCGUGGCGCCUCCCGGGGGCUGGGACGGUGA